UACGUAGGCCCCGAGCGUUAUCCGGAAUUACUGGGCGUAAAGCGUUCGUAGGCGGUUUAGAAAGUCUUGCGUGAAAGACCGGAGCUUAACUCCGAGUUUGCGCUCGAAACUUCUAGACUUGAAUGAGGGAGAGGUAAGCGGAAUAGUAUGAGUAGGGGUGCAAUCCGUUGAUACAUACUAGAACACCAAAAGCGAAGGCAGCUUACUGGAACUCUAUUGACGCUGAGGAACGAAAGCGUGGGGAGCGAAAAGG
rnacentral:rRNA from 1 species